rnacentral:rRNA from 1 species
AGCGAACGCUGGCGGCAGGCUUAACACAUGCAAGUCGAGCGGGCGUAGCAAUGCGUCAGCGGCAGACGGGUGAGUAACGCGUGGGAACGUACCUUUUGGUUCGGAACAACCCAGGGAAACUUGGGCUAAUACCGGAUAAGCCCUUACGGGGAAAGAUUUAUCGCCGAAAGAUCGGCCCGCGUCUGAUUAGCUAGUUGGUGAGGUAAUGGCUCACCAAGGCGACGAUCAGUAGCUGGUCUGAGAGGAUGAUUAGCCACAUUGGGACUGAGACACGGCCCAAACUCCUACGGGAGGCAGCAGUGGGGAAUAUUGGACAAUGGGCGCAAGCCUGAUCCAGCCAUGCCGCGUGAGUGAUGAAGGCCCUAGGGUUGUAAAGCUCUUUUGUGCGGGAAGAUAAUGACGGUACCGCAAGAAUAAGCCCCGGCUAACUUCGUGCCAGCCGCCGCGGUAAUAC